AGCCAUAUCAUAUUGAAUCACCAGUUCCUGUACGAUCACCAGAGUUAAGCAAUGUCAAGUCUGGUCAGUACCUAGAUGGGUGUCUGCUUGGGAAACCAAGUACUGUAAU